CCCAGACUGGAAGGCAGAACCCUUACUCCCUGAGCACCCUCGUUCAGGAACUCAUGCACAAGAGACGUGUACUACAUCUUUCCUGGUGGGGACUCUAAGGCGACUUCCUGAAGACGGAGGUGACUUCCCAGUGACGCUGUUGGUGGCUCUGAAUGUGUCAUGCGGGUUCUGUGGGUCUUGAGUGUUUUUCCUGUUGGCUGUCUCCCCUGGGCAACACGUGGGCACUGGUGACAGCCCCCUGGCACUUUCCCAAACUGCCUUGCAUAUGUCGGACCUGAGAGGGCAGAUUGCUGGGCCUUUCUUGCAGGAUAUGUGCAUUCCCUUGAUCAGGGUGUCAGGCUGCGGAUGCUGGGGCUGUUCAAGACAUGCUCGGGCUUCAUGCACAGCCCCAUACUCAUGGGCCAUCUGUCCACUGACUGUCCUCUGUCCUUCUUGCCUGUGAUGGAGCCAGGCUGCCUCUCUCAUCCCCUACUGCUGUGGUUGGGGCCCAGCAAGGAACAAGGCUUCCUGUGCUUGGGUUGGUCUCAGGGAGCCAGGAUGGGGCUGAGGCUGCUGUUCCUACAACUGCCCGGUGCCCUCGCCCGGGGAUUUCCUCUAGUGGCCUGCCUUGCAGGUGGACACACGCGAAAGCAGCCAGACCCUAUCCUGACCCACACACCACCCUGACUUAGCAGCUGUCCCUCCUCACCCCACUGGCUCCAUCAAGGUUUUCGAAGCAGCUGUGUCUCGGAGCACCAUGGCCAGUGUCCCAGACCUGUGGGUUGCCAGUAGCUGCCCCCACUGUGGCCCCGCCACCAGGUCCUUAUGGAUCCUCUCAAAUUUCCUCAGUGUACCUGAGUCACCGUCAGGAAUGGUGAGCAUAUGUGUGGGUCCCAUCUUCCCACCCUCUACUGGGGGGCCUUGACCAGUAUGUGGGUUCCCAAUCUGUUUCCCUCCUGUUUCUCUGCCCAAGUGCCCUGCAGUUCACCUCUUGGCCUGGCCUGUAGUCUCUUGCCAGGAUGUCUGUCCCCAGGGAACUGUAUCCCUGGCCCUGAAUUUGGCAUCUUCUGGCCUUCCUGCAGCCCCAAGCAUGUGAUGUGGAGGGAUGGUGACAGGACCUCCUGCUUAGUCCUACUGUGCAUGGGAUGUGUGAUGCUUCUGAGGGGCCUUUCCAGGCCUUAGCAUGUGAUAGAAUGUGACAGCAGAGCUAUUUCUUGUAGGUAGGGUUGGUGCCAGGAAGGAAUAGGAGGCUCUGGGUGACCUGGAGCAGGCAGGGGUAUGCUCAGUGUGAAGGGUCCUGGGCAUACUGGGUAUUGAGAGGAGAAAGCUAUGUUUUUUGGGUCUCCCAUCCUCCCCUCCAUGAUUCUGGACCUCUUUGGACCUGGUUCUGCUGCCUCCUAUCUCCUCUCCAACUGGUCAGCUUCCAACAGCCUCCAAGAAUGUGGGGGCACCCCACCCUUCCUUGCAGUUGAGCAGGAGUAGUAGUGGGGCAAUCAUGGGGGACCAGACUUUAUCCGGCUCCAUCCUUGCUGCCUCUUGGGCAGUAUCUCUGUGGGACUGGCCACCUUGAGCCCAGGGAGCAAUCUGCCCUUAUUUUAAGCAGUGUGAACAAUGGCAUUUUCUUGCCUGUAGCACCUUAGGAUCAGGUGGUUGCUUGUUGUCUUGGAGCCACAGACUCUAAACCUUUGAGCUUUUAUGCUAGGGGUGCAAGGUGGGAGCUGACGCCAGUUCUGUCCAGCAUGUGCCAUCCUCAUGCAAUUGCUGGCUCUGUCAUAAUUGGUAGGGCAAGAGUACCUCUUGACUAGCCUACAGUUGUGUGCCAUCUCUCCUGGUCUUGUCUGGAAGACUGAGAUAGAGGGUCCAGUCAGGAGCAUGUGUUCAGGAUUUUCCUGCCCUUACAGGGCACACUCCUCCCCCUUGGCUGGUGGGGUGCCUCCGUGAGCCAUUAGGGGCCAGUAUGGGAACAUGGUGACUCUCUGGGUAUAUAGCACUGCCUCAGGCCACAUCCUCAUGGCUUAGGAGGAAGUGAAUCCAGAGACUGAACAGUGCCUGGCCUCUUGCUGCCCCCUUGCUGCCCCUGCUGUGUCCUCAGUCCUAGAGCCCAGGGGAGGGGAGCGGAGGGUGUGUGGGAAUCCUGGAGCCCUCAGAGGUCUUGUAGGGUAAUUCUAAAAUCCUUGGAAACUUUUAGGAGGGGCCACAGUAGUCCCUCAGAGGUCUUGAGGAAUGGGUUCCAGACCCUUGAGAGCAUUUAGGUGGAGAGACCUGCUUGGAGGCUGCUGAGGCCCUUGAGUGUCCAGAGACUUCAUAAGCCUGUGGUUGAGGCACCUUGAGCACUUGGGUUUUGCCUGUAGCUCCAGUCCUUGGAGAUUGGGGAGAACAUGUCAUUGGAGUGGGGGCAGAGGCCAAACCCAAAUGGGAGGCUUGGGACUUGGAAAGGAGCUCAGGCAUGUAGCUAAACCCUGGGGUGGGGGGAGCGGGGAGAGACCCAGAGGAAUCUUCUAUUUGGUCCUUGUGCAUGGAUAAACAUGGAAACCCUUGUAGAAUGAAGGGGUGAACGGGGAGUCUGUAACAUAUGGUUGGCCACUGUUAUCAUCCAAUCUUCCCUCAUGCCAGGUACCAUAGCUUCCGGGCACACCCACCUACCUGCUCUCUUAUACCCAACGUGCAAACAGUUCCAGGAUCUGAGGCCUAGAGGACCAUUUUGUCCUUAGGUCUUGACACCUCUUUCUCUGUUCUUGGGAUGCUCUAAGCCAAGCUCCCCUUCCUCUUGUGAUGUCCUUUCUCUUCACCACUUCAGAGAUUUGGAGUGUCAACCCUGCCACCACCCAGGCCCCAUGUGGGUUCUUGUCUUCAUCAGGCUGCAGUCCAACAGCAAUUCCAUGUAGUCAGUCCCUUCUCUCAAUAGCUGGUGAAACAGGAGGUUGUCACCAUGUCCUUCUUAGGUCCUGGUGGGGACCCUGUUUGUUCUGCCCACUCAAUGAUCCUUAUUACUGAUCUACAAGGAAGUAGCAUCACCUGCCCAUGCCCACCACCCACAAUGGUUCAUCUAGGUUGCAGGGCCAGAAUCCAGUCCUUUGUAUUGACAUUGGAAUGGUGAGUAGAGAGAAGGGGACUGGGGGUCAAGUAGUGGCUGGGUGCUUACUGGGGAUGAGCCAAAUGGGAGGGAUUUACAGCAAACAAGAGAAUCUGAGUCUAUAAUGAGUGGUAAGAAAACCAGAACUUUUUUUUUUUUUUUUGCGGUACUGGGGCUUGAACUCAGUCUGCACCUUCAGCCACUCCACCAGCCCAUUUUUGUGACGGGUUUUUUGGAGAUAGGGUCUCAGGAACUAUUUGCCCAGGCUGGCCUCCAACUGCAAUCCCCCUGAUCUCUGCCUCCUGAGUAGCUAACAUUACAGGUUUAAGCUACUGGUACGGUGUUAGUGUUCUUGUCUUUGUAGAACAUUUGAGUAACAUUUUCUUUUUUUUUUUUGGUACUGGAGAUUGAACCUAUGGUCCUGUGCAUGCUAGGCAAGUGCCCUACCACUUGGAGACAUGGC